CAAAGUGGCAGCUGAGCAAAGAUUCAGAGGAAGACACUGAAAGAAGGCACAGGGAGGAAUCUCCUGGAAGCCUUGGUUGUUGACACUCACAUUCCUGGAGUUCUUGGUGUCCUCCUGUCGGGGCUGAUGAUCCGUCUUCUGCUCUCUCAAGCUGAGCAUGCCAGAGGAAGAUGACAGAUGUCUCCUUUUCCUCACUGAGGCCGUCCUGGCGUCACCUCUCUGUGUCCUAACCCAGUGAACAGCUGUCAUUUUUGCCUGCUCUGCAUCUGUUCUCAUCCUGGGAAUAAGAAUGCCUAAUUUCCCUUUGUGAAACUGACCUGCCCUGGGCGGCCUCUUAUGCCAUGCAGACACUCCCUCCUGGAAAUCGGACUCUCAGAAGCAGAGUGGCAACCAGUGGCCAAAGAAACAUGACAGAUAUGUGCAAGCUCUGAAUUAAAAUGAUUAGUGUGACCUAUGUAAGCUUCAUGAAGCAGAUGGCAUUUGGACAACAGGCAGGAAGUGGUGCUGCAGUUCUGUUCUCCAGGCCCGAAGGUGGGGAAGAUUAUUCAUCCAGAUCGUUAACCCUGAGGCAGCCACCCCGGCACCAGCCAGCCAGCUUCCUGGAAGCCGAUAAAUGUCCCUCCCCGCAGAUGCCCCUGCCUGCCUCAACCCAGAAGUAGACGUGUUUGCUUUCGUCACGCAGAAAUGCUCUUGCCUCUCGCCUCUCGCGGCUUAAUUAGCUCUAACCCGGGCGGAGGCCGUCCUUGGACGGCUUCCCGCAGCUGCCCUCUGCUGGUCGGCAGCCGCAUCGGCGGCUGGAGCCUGGGGACCCAGAAGCCGUGGUCGCCGCCUUCAAGACGGUGGGCCAGGGGGCCUGUGUUCGCAGGAGCCACUGGAGCUAACUACGACAGAAGACCUAUUACCAGUCCUGGCACACCGAGCAGCCCCAACCUCUCCUUCCUUGAAUAAACACAUACAAAAUA